CCUACGGGUGGCUGCAGUGGGGAAUAUUGCACAAUGGGCGCAAGCCUGAUGCAGCCAUGCCGCGUGUGUGAAGAAGGCCUUCGGGUUGUAAAGCACUUUCAGCGGGGAGGAAGGCGUUAAGGUUAAUAACCUUGGCGAUUGACGUUACCCGCAGAAGAAGCACCGGCUAACUCCGUGCCAGCAGCCGCGGUAAUACGGAGGGUGCAAGCGUUAAUCGGAAUUACUGGGCGUAAAGCGCACGCAGGCGGUCUGUCAAGUCGGAUGUGAAAUCCCCGGGCUCAACCUGGGAACUGCAUUCGAAACUGGCAGGCUAGAGUCUUGUAGAGGGGGGUAGAAUUCCAGGUGUAGCGGUGAAAUGCGUAGAGAUCUGGAGGAAUACCGGUGGCGGAGGCGGCCCCCUGGACAAAGACUGACGCUCAGGUGCGAAAGCGUGGGGAGCAAACAGGAUUAGAUACCCGGGUAGUC
rnacentral:rRNA from 1 species